UACGUAGGGUGCAAGCGUUAAUCGGAAUUACUGGGCGUAAAGCGUGCGCAGGCGGUUGUGCAAGACAGAUGUGAAAUCCCCGGGCUCAACCUGGGAAUUGCGAUGGAGACUGCAAGGCUUGAAUCUGGCAGAGGGGGGUAGAAGUUCCACGUGUAGCAGUGAAAUGCGUAGAGAUGUGGAGGAACACCGAUGGCGAAGGCAGCCCCCUGGGUCAAGAUUGACGCUCAUGCACGAAAGCGUGGGGAGCAAACAGG
rnacentral:rRNA from 1 species